rnacentral:rRNA from 1 species
AGAGUUUGAUCAUGGCUCAGGAUNNNNNNUGGCGGUGUGGAUAAGGCAUGCAAGUCGAACGGACCAGUCUUCUGAAGUUGAGGGAAGUCAAUGUAGCAAUACUGAGAUGGAACGAGAUGAAUGGAGUUUACUGGUUAGUGGCGAACGAGGUAGUAAUAUAUAGGAACUUCCCCCAAAGUCGCGAAUAAUCCAUCGAAAGGUGGACUAAUACGCGAUGGUCCCGCAAGGGUAAAGAUUUAUCGCUUUGGGAAAGGCCUGUACAGUAUCAGCUAGUUGGUGAGGUAAAAGCUCACCAAGGCUAUGACGCUUAGGGGACCUGAGAGGGUGACCCCCACCGAUGGGACUGAGACACGGCCCAUACACCUACGGGUGGCUGCAGUCGAGAAUCUUCCGCAAUGGACGAAAGUCUGACGGAGCGACACCGCGUGAUUGAUGAAGUCCCUCUGGGACGUAAAGAUCUUUUAUGAGGGAAGAAGUUUAUUGACGGUACCUCAUGAAUAAGGGGCUCCCAAUCUCGUGCCAGCAGGAGCGGUAAUACGAGAGCCUCAAGCGUUAUCCGGAAUUAUUGGGCGUAAAGGAUGUGUAGGUGGUUGUGUUAGUCGUGUGUUAAAGACCCGGGCUCAACUCGGGGAUCGCGCAGGAAACGGCACAACUAGAGAGUGUGAGGGGUUUGCGGAACUCAUGGUGUAGGGGUGAAAUCCGUUGAUAUCAUGGGGAACACCAAAAGCGAAGGCAGCAAACUGGCGCACAUCUGACACUGAAACAUGAAAGCGUGGGUAGCGAAUGGGAUUAGAUACCCUAGUAGUCC